GGGAUGGGGAGGAGGAAGACAGCCCUCCGGACUGGAAGUUUGAAACCCUUUCUCCUGUUCCUGUCUUUAAAACACGAACUGGCAGGCUGGACUUCUUAUAUAACACUCCUUUAGUGACUGAAGCACUUGUCACAACCACCUUGGGGACCUAGGUUCAAUGCCCCCACUUUCAGGAAGUCAAGCUCUUUGCUCAGAUAGCACGUGGCUGAGCAGCGGCAGUAAAACCAGAGUCCCUAUUUCCACUCUUAGACCAGUGAGCCCUCCUGCACCCACGACGGAGACUGAGGAGGAGAAAAAUAACCAGCCAUGCAAAAUCCAAAAAAAAAAAAAAUCCUCUCAAGAUUAUGAAAUCAAAGAGCAUUUUGUUGUUUCUUGGACAUUCUUCUUACUACUCUGAGGCAGCGCAAUUCAACAGGCAUCUCUUUCUUGUUGUUAAAGUACUUGUUCUAUCUCCUGCCUCUUUUACCAACUUUCACAUCGACCGAGAACGCAAGCGUUUACCUGGGCUCCAUCCUUGGACGGCGAACUGGUCGCGCAGGCUUCCGGCCUCCUCCUCCCUGGGAUUUGGCUCCAAGGCUCCCGCAAAAUCUCGAAAUCCCCCCCAGAUCGGCGCGGCCACUGAGGGAAGCAGCCCGGCUCUGAACAAGCCCAGGCAAGCCCAGGCAGAGCCCGCUUCGCGGUCCUUCCUCCUGCGCGAACCACCCGGCCCCGGGGCGAGAGACGCGUCUCUCGGGCCGCAGAUCCGUGGAGUCGUCUCUCUCCAGAGGACCGGGCGCCGGCCCUCUCCUCCACCUGAGAAGGAAAAGGGUGCAGGUCCCCGGAGGCACAGAUGAGGACGCGGCGAUGCGCCGGGCAGCCCGUGAGGAGCGCGCCUCCCUUUCCUCGCGGUUUCUACACUGCCCUGCGGACACAACUGAAGGACUAGGGUCUUCUUGGCCCCAUGAGACGCCUGCAUCUUGCACUGGGAGAAGAUGGUCCUUGGCGGGAAGUGGCUGCUGCCCCAAGCAUGUCAUCACACGCACACUGUGGGGAGCAAGUGAGGCCAGCUAGCCACCAAAAUGCCUUGACCUGGGCGGCUGACAGAUGAAGGAGUACAUUUGGGAGACUCCAGACUGCAGUAACUAGAGGACUUGAAAUAAGAUUUAUAUCCACUUUUCCAUUCAGAGAGGCCAAACCACAUUCAGGCCUCUCCCCCCCCCCUUAAUCAUUAAGGUGGCUCAGUGGUAAAGAAUCCGACUGCCAGUGCAUGAGACGAGGAUUCAAUCCCUGGGUUGGGAAGAUCCCUGGAGGAAGGCAUGGCAACCCACUCCAGUAUUGCCUGGGGAAUUCCAUGGACAGAGGAGCCUGGCAGGCUACCGUCCACAGGGUUGCAAAAGAGUCGGACACGACUGAACAACUCAACAACAACAAUAGCAGCAAUAUUUUGACGUUCUGACUACUUGGUCUUUGUUGCAGAAACUCCUAUGUAUCCUGGCUCCUCGCUUGCCUCUUUGGAGCAGUCCCGCAGGGCUAUCUGAGAGGUUAUGUCCUGGGCUUAAGUUCUCAGAGUGUCCGCCAAAUAAAACAAAACUCUCAGCUCUG
ensembl:lncRNA